rnacentral:rRNA from 1 species
CGGGGUAGAGUAAUGUCUGGGAAACUGCCUGAUGGAGGGGGAUAACUGCUGGAAACGGUAGCUAAUACCGCAUAACGUCGCAAGACCAAAGAGGGGGACCUUCGGGCCUCUUGCCAUCGGAUGUGCCCAGAUGGGAUUAGCUAGUAGGUGGGGUAACGGCUCACCUAGGCGACGAUCCCUAGCUGGUCUGAGAGGAUGACCAGCCACACUGGAACUGAGACACGGUCCAG